UUGGGCUAAGAGACAAAACCACACAAUCAACCCAAUCGACCGUUGACACUUCAGGAAGAACCACAAUCAGUAAUCUUUCCAGCUCUUGAUAUACGCGUGAAGAGUGUAGCACAAAUAUACUCCCUCGAACAUUAUCAAGCUGCUAAAUUCUGAUGCAAAAAUUUAUGAAAGUUUCCCGAGGGAGUUAGCAUUUUGUACAGGAGCCCUACAAACAUCAGUCAGGCAGCACAACACAAUGCACAUGGCUAAGGAGGAGGAACAGGUUCUGUUUCUUUUUCAGACGUUUGAAUCUUGAUUUUAUUUUAUUAUUAAUAUUUUUUUUUGUUCAUACCCCCAAUUGGUUGACGUGCCUCUUGUAAUUUUAUAAUAUGAAAGCAAAAAUGGAAUAGAAUUUCUAAAAAAGUUGGGAUUAGUAUACUAUUUUCUAGUGUUAAAAAUGAUUUUUGCAAUAUUUUCCUUUAUAAUCUGAUGCGGAAGCUCAUGACGUAAUAAUCCCCUGGUGGUGCCCUAUGGCAAGUAUAAGAAUCAUUAAUCAUCAUCACUUCUGGUACUUUACUUAUUAUGCGAAUUUGGCACUGCAAUUUUUCUCCAAUAGGAUCCAUGACAAGUAAGAACAUCUGAUCAAAAACACCAUUGGUAUGAGCACAAAGUUUCCCCACAGUUCUACCACUAAUAUACAGUUAGUUAGUUGAACUCUUCCUGGCAAUGUUUCUUUAUUAGGAGCUACAAAAAAGGACAAUAACCGUCUGGUCAACAACGCAUUUGGUAGUAAGCACAUAUUUACCCCCAAAAAGUUCCCUCACUAACAUGUUAGCAUCAGGUUAUUUCUACGUCAGUAGCAUGCAUCCACAAUUGACUCUUCUCUCUCUCUAAUCGACGAGAAGGAAACCUUGAUCCCAUCCAUUGGUGGGAGGGGAAAGGGGAAACUACGAGUAAAACAUAUACCACGUGCACCGUUUGGGCCCAAUUAUGAGAACCACAAUAUUUUUACUUACGGACUAGGAAGAGUUGAAC